rnacentral:rRNA from 1 species
CCUACGGGUGACAGCAGUGGGGGAUAUUGCACAAUGGGGGGAACCCUGAUGCAGCGACGCCGCGUGGGUGAAGAAGCGCCUCGGCGCGUAAAGCCCUGUCAGCAGGGAAGAAAAUGACGGUACCUGAAGAAGAAGCCCCGGCUAACUACGUGCCAGCAGCCGCGGUAAUACGUAGGGGGCAAGCGUUAUCCGGAUUUACUGGGUGUAAAGGGGGCGUAGACGGCAGUGCAAGCCAGGAGUGAAAGCCCGGGGCUCAACCCCCGGACUGCUCGUGGAACUGCGUGGCGGGAGUGCAGGAGGGGCAGGUGGAAUUCCUGGUGUAGCGGUGAAAUGCGUAGAUAUCAGGAGGAACACCGGUGGCGAAGGCGGCCUGCUGGACUGAAACUGACGUUGAGGCCCGAAAGCGUGGGGAGCAAACAGGAUUAGACACCCGGGUAGUC